rnacentral:lncRNA from 1 species
AAAGCAGGCCAAGGCUAGAGAAAGUAGACGAAAUAAUAUCGAACUAUGCCGUGAAGCAGAGCUCUAAGACAGCAGAACCUUCUCAAGUGAUCAACAAGAAAAACAAAAUUCCAACCUCGAUCUCAGGCUCUCUUCAAAGGGAGACAAAGGAGACAGAGCUGGGAGAGCCUGGGAUCGAGGUCGUCAUGUUUCGAACGGGAACGUGUGAGAAACUACAGAGCGGUAAACACAGCGGAAAAAGUGGUUGAUUCGUUGACCUAUCGAAAAGAUUGAUUCAGUUCAGUCUUCACAACUUUUGCUGCAAGUUUCUGCCAGGUGGAUUCACACUGAAGCGAACUGCUAAAUUGCGCGUUUCCAUUAUCGAAAGUACUACACUAUGAAGUUUGCAAGGAAGAAUUCAGUAUUAUCAGUUGCCCAGGUGGAGACAAAUCAGGACGAGACAAGAAGAGGAUGAACAUAUUUACCAUUAUUCAAGAUAUUGAUGAUUUUAUUGCAAUCCAGGACCCAGGACGCUUUUUCAGACACGAAGAGCAGCUAAGGGCUGGGUGGACUGAGAUGAAUUGAUCAUACACCAUGGAUGAUGUCUGGGAGUUACUAGCCUAUAGGUUUUGUAUGUCUACCGUUCAGUAUGUACUAGUGAUAGGUUAGAUAUCUCUUACUUAUAAGAAAUAGGUUUUGCAAUCGCACCGUGUAGUAAACAGUGUUUUAAAGGAGUCAUGACAUGAUAGUAAGAUUACGUACCAAAAAAAUGAAGACUUGAAAACCGUAGGAGAAAAAAAAUACUUUAAGUUUAGAAUCAACAAAGCAGAAAUAAGGAACUCUUAAAGUUUACAAUUAACAAAGCAGGGAAAAGGUUGGUUAGGACUGGGAAAGAUUUCCACCGAUGACAUUUCAUAUCUGUUCUGUCUCUGUCACGCAACGCUACGCUCUCGGCAGAGAGGGAUCUUAUCUCUCUUGAGCGUUACGUGACAGAGAGGUGACCAGAACUGGACUAUUCAACUCUGUAGGGACGCCAUUUCUCGUUUCGCAUGUUUCAGCUGAGGUAGCUCCUGUCAGUGCUAAGACUAUCAUAUUUUUUCGUUAUAAUUGUUCAAAGUACUUAAUUUGUAAAAUUCUUUCGAAAACUCGGACUUUUUUUUCCUAGCAACUUGAAUUAGAAAUGAUGUAAGCUAAGGAAGACAAAAUCGUCUGUUUACAUGAGGGAAGUUUCUUUUUACAUUGGCUACCUAAAAAAACAGGGUUUCAUUUUAGCCUGGUUAAAACUCGCAGGAGAAAAUUAGUGUCGAAUAUAUUUUUCCCGCGGUGCAAGUUCCACUGGCUCUGUGUGAAAGAAAAAGAAUACAAUUUGCAAUUUUCUUUAUCAUACUAUUCCCAAUCGAGUAGGGAAAAAAAUUUCUUCUCUGCCGAUAAAAUUAAUUUGGCUUCUAAGGCGCGGUAAGAAAACGACGAAACUUUUUCUCAACAAACGUAAAUGUUUACGAUCUGGAAAACCCGCGAACUUAAUAGUCAUUCAAAAUGUUUAAUAUUCUAGUAACAAUGCAGAUGGUACUUUUAUCGAAUGCCAUUCUGUAAUCAUUAUAAUUUACAUGUUGCUGUUGUUUAUAUACAGCGCUGCUAGGUUAAUAUCCUUAGAUCUUUCUUACGUAUUUUUUGAGUAAAUCGUCGAAUAGGAGUUUAUAACUUUAUUUAGUGGCAGUGAUGUUGAAAGGACUUUUAAAUUCUCUGAAAGUCUUUUAAUUUCUCGUAAUUUUGUAGUUGUCGAAGGAAAUAAUGGCGGUAUGUAAUUGUGUUAUUUUUGUCAAAGGUUUUGUAAUAUAAUUCUAUCGCGGGUCAUUAGUUGAUAAUCUAGUUCCACAUAUUGUUAAUAUCGUGGUAACUCAAGAAAGUCGAAGCUAUUAGAGGAAAGUAACAAAAGGUUCGUAAAUUAUGGCUUUAUUAUGAUCACUACAUGUUCAGAAUAUGGCGGAGGUAAUAAGACGAAGAGUUACGGACGCUGAUAACGAGUACACUGUUGUUUAUUGUACGCGAAAGAUAUGCACUGUAUGUUAAUCUUUAUUGUUUUUUGUCUGUUGUACUAUUACAAAAUAAAUUCAUUUCAUCAUGUUACAAA